AGCCCAAACACAAAACAAGUCCGGUGCGGCCCAAGUUAUGAAAAUACCAAACACAAAGCUAUGCAACUUCCGAAUUGCGUGCCACACCGAACUUCCACCUGCAGCUCGCGCCAACCUCAAGUUCCUUCCUUUUUAGCCAUUUUAAGUAAAUUCAACACAGCAGCUGAUUUGGGCCUUCAGAUUGUGGCGCGAUGGAGCUCCAACAAUGGCUCCACGAGCACGAGGCAGAAAGGAUACCCGAAUGGACGCAGCCAUUGAUGCGACGCGUGAAAUGGCUUUUGACGAGAAACUCGUUCGUUCUACGGUGAAUGAAUGACCUGCUGAAGGUGGGUCUAAUUUUUCUAAAUUUUUAAUUUUCAUUGUGUGUGUUUUCAUUAUUUUCUGAGUAAAUCGGCUUUGCGUUUUGGGUUUUGUUUGAAAUGUGAAAAGGGUUUUGCUCUCAGGUUUAUAAGGGAAAGAGUAGGACAUUGAAUCCAUGGCGAUUUAUCGAGGAGGGUUGUUAUACGCUCCUGAAUGAACAGCUUCAAAGGACGCUGAUCCGCAAGACGGUAAUGCUUCACAAGAUGAUGCCCCUAUGCAAGAAGAUGCUGCUCCGCUAGAUGACGCAUCAGCUGCUGCGCCCUCAAGCACUGCCAUUCUAUCUACUUGCGAUAAUGCUACACAAGCUGAUGGAUCAGCGGCUGGAACCUCAAGGACUGCCAUUCUACGUUUGUAAAUUUUUCGAUCAAUGAACUUUUGGUUCAUGACAGUAUGUGCUUCAAUUGUCUUUACGUACGUAUAAUAUAAUCCACUCGAUAAAUCAUGCAACUUCUCCAAUGUACGAUUCUGGGUAUCAUUAGAGGUAAUGCAUAGAUAUUCCACAUUUUCUGCACCUUUCGUUUCAAUGUGGUAUCUAUUUAAACGUUAUGGAUCUGGCCUGACAUCACUGAUUAAAAUGCCAGAUGCUAACGAUUGUCAUCGAGAAGACAGACUUGCACCCCGAAGGCCUAGACUUUACUACGGUUGGAUUUGUAGCGAUGACGAGGAAGAUCCAGUGGUAAUGGCAUCGUCUCCAUUGUCAGAGUUGGUUAAAUUGCUUAUUAGGCCAGAUAAGAAGAGAAAGCGGAAGUCGAGGUGGGACAUGUGACCUGAAGAUAUGUGAAGCUCUCGCCAAUCCUAUCGUGCUUGUAAUAUGUAGAAAGAGAAAUGCUAAGGAGACUCUGAAAGUGAGAGUCUCCGUUUAUUUCUGUCACCUUAUAAUUUAAUGUUAAUUCUUGUGCCAACAUUAUAUUGCGCCAAAAACAUGAAGUAGCAGAGAGUUCCUGGAGAGCCCCACUUUUGAGUCUCCUUAGCAUUUGUCAUGUAAAAAUAGGAGUGUUGUAUAGAAAAACACAGUUUCCGGACCUUCCGGUGACACACUGAUACUAUAUGACCAUUCAAAUCUGUUUUGUUGUGGCCAUACGUGUGGUGUCGAUAUUUUGUACAGACCAGUGCAACUCUAGAGAAGAGAAAUGUACAUUUUGGAAGCCAUUGGAACCCAAAUUUUGUGUUUAGCAGAUGGUGAAAGCUUGUGGGUGGCUU